rnacentral:lncRNA from 1 species
ACGGCCAUCAGGACUGGCAAGAGAAACACUAAGACCACCAGUUUGAUUGCGAGAGCCAGUAUUGCUUGUCAGCAGGUACGAGCCUGACAGACAUAAUAUCUCAAAUCGUCCCUACAGAAGUCAAAACGGACAAAAAAGUGUGUUUCAAUAAAAAUAUGCAUUGAAUCAAGAGAAUCUCUGAGAAAGAGUAAAGAAAAGUUCAUAUAUCAGAAAUGAAAAGUUUGUUCAAUGGCAUUACUAAAAGCUAGACCAAUUCAACAAUAUCGGACAACAAAAAUAUGUGAUUUAUAUGCAAUCUUGUGUUUUGUUACUUUCACAAGGAACGAGUUAGUAAUAGGCAAACCUAAAUCCAUUCAAUAUAACUCAGCAAAAACAUCUGAACUUGCCUAAACAUAUCUUUCACAAACAAUAUAAGGGUCGGGUUAUUGAGUGCCAAACCUCGUACGUAACAGUGCCAGCCGACGAUGACGGCUGUCGAAGAGUUACGGUAGAGACAGCACCAUUGGCUGACAAAAUGCAUACUUCUCUUGGUCCUUGCUGUGAAAAUGACAUUAAUUUUGUUGCAAUGUCCUGCAGGGAAAGUAAAAAGUAAUUCUCAAGGGAAAAAAAAAAAAGAAAUUUCUUCCAUUACAAGAUAACCUACCUCAAAAAGUAAGCUUCAAGACAGAAUAUCUACUUUUUGUUAGAGAAACAAUGAAAAACCUAAACAAAACUUAACGCCCUCAUGCCUAGCACAACUGAAAGAAGUGAUCUACCAUAUUUAAAAAAAAAAAAACUCAAAAUACAACAAAAUCAACAACAGUGUUUUUUUACAUAGAAAACCAUGAAGAAUAAUAGCAAGGACAACUAAGCCUAGAGAACCCUAAUUCUUGUAUAUUUAAUUUUGAGGGUAGAGUCCGAGGCCUAAUUAAUAAAAUAAAAUUGCGUACUUCUCCUAUUGCAAUGGUGAUGACAUGCGGAGUAAAACUCAUUCCAGCUGAACCAGAAAGCAAUUCACCUAGCAAAACAAAUAGACAAUUGCAGCAUCAUUCACAUUGCAUGAAUAAAACAUGUUAGAAUUAAGCACCACGAAACAGAGUAAACUGCAAGCACUGAUAUGAUAUAACAUGUUAAUUCACUAAGGAGAAUGGAAUGUCAGCUUUUAGGAAUUGAUGAAUUGUUAGCUUUGAAGACUUCCACAUUUGAACGACUAUGCCACUCAUAGUUAUUUAAUGUCUGAAACUUUCAUCAAUUCUCGGCAUAUUCCUAUACAUAAAGGCUGAGCAUAAUUUUUAUAAUAGUAGCCAAACAUAAAGAUAAUGUCAUUCAUCUCACGGCAACUCUUGAAAUUUUCUCCUAUUUUCAUUUUGCAUUCAUACCCUUUCUUAGGAUAAGCUCUAAGUUCUGUCCUCUCAUUUUAUGUUGCCUCUAAUUUGGUUCUUUUAAAUUUCCACUGCUUUAUAUUUUAUUGCUUCCAUUCAGACUGAAAAUUGACAAAAUUCCACAUAUUAUAGACAGGACACUAAGUUGUUUAUUAUUUUAUUGAGAUCGAAUAUAUUAUUCAAUUAUCAAGGAAGCAGCUUGUGACCCCACCCCACCUUAAAAAAUCACAAUGUGCCAGCAAUUUUAAUGAGCUAUAAAGAAAAAUGUUGGCGAUAUUAAGUAGUCAUGGCAGCAUUGACAUAAGCCUGAUUAAACUAUAAGAACACAACAAAACCCUUUUAUCCUAAUCAACAAGAAAAAUAUGUGCAACAUAGCUUAUUUCCGCAAGGUUAAGCUACAUGUUACAUUCUGCAUAAUAAGGGUCUAAACAAUACAAACAGAUACGAAAAAUAUUUUACCAAGGGAAGAUAACUGUUGCUUCCUUCCAGAACCCGGCGGCCGCCCUCUUCCCCGUUUUUGGAUUGGAGUUAUUGUUCCAGGAUGAGUAGCUGAUGCAGGAGUCAGUGCUAAGGAAACAGUUCCAUCAGGUCCAUAUUUCCGAGGUCUUCCUCUUUUACGUUUCACGGUCUCACCAGGCUGCACGGCUGGAGGUGUGCCUACAUUGACAUUAUGAGGGGUAAUUCCUGACAAAGGCUCUACAGGU